GGAUGAUGAUGAUGGUGAUGAUGGUGGUGAUGAUGGUGGAGAGGGUGAUCACCAUCACAAUCAUCAUCAUCGGCAUCAUCACCAUCAUCAUCAUCCUAG
rnacentral:pre_miRNA from 1 species